CUAGUGAAGUUGGGCCUUUUCCAGAAUGC
rnacentral:piRNA from 1 species